AAGUUUUCAGUUGUUUCAGGGCAGUCUGUGUUUCUAAAGGUAGCAUAUCAUCAUCAACACAAUGAUCAAUGUCUUCUUUCAAUUCCUUCUCCAUCAGCAAUCUGGUAGCAGCAUCGGUAGUAACAGUUUUGUUUGCAAAAGGGAAAUAAGCUUUCCUGUAAGCACCAUCAUACAGUCGCAGUUACAAAAUAUUAACUUCGCUUUUAUGCUGACAAAGAGUAGACAAACUAGGGAUAGAAUGAGAUAAGAUACAUGUAUAUGAUUCUAUCUAUAGAGUAAGUAUAUAUGGGUACAGGAGAAUUGGAAUGGAUUUUUUGACGUUUGUACAUGUAGUUCCGUAAUUUUAAAUUAUUUCUGGAAAUAGUU
rnacentral:lncRNA from 1 species